rnacentral:ncRNA from 1 species
UUAAAGGCUAUGAUUGGGAGAAGUAACAGUUUUUCGCCUAUUCAGAGAGCAAACGGUUGGUGAGAGUUUGUAUAGGUUAAAUUGUGAAAUGCACCCAUGAGCUUCUCAAAGGAAAUUUAGUAUUUUGAGACGGUGGGCACCGUUAUCCGCAAAGGCUAUAUUGGUAGCUUGAGUAUAAAUCAGAGUGGAACCGCAGUAUUACUGCCUCUGUC